rnacentral:rRNA from 1 species
UUGACCUCAAAUCAGGUAGGACUACCCGCUGAACUUAAGCAUAUCAAUAAGCGGAGGAAAAGAAACUAACAAGGAUUCCCCUAGUAACUGCGAGUGAAGCGGGAUAAGCUCAAAUUUGAAAUCUGGCAGUCUUUUUUUUCUUCUUUGGCUGUCCGAGUUGUAAUCUAGAGAAGUGCUACCUGCACUGGACC